UCUUGGUCCAAUUAGAGGAAGUAAAAGUCGUAACAAGGUCUCCGUUGGUGAACCAGCGGAGGGAUCAUUACCGAGUUUACAACUCCCAAACCCAAUGUGAACGUUACCAAACUGUUGCCUCGGCGGGGUCACGCCCCGGGUGCGUCGCAGCCCCGGAACCAGGCGCCCGCCGGAGGAACCAACCAAACUCUUUACUGUAGUCCCCUCGCGGACGUUUUUACUUACAGCUCUGAGCAAAAAUUCAAAAUGAAUCAAAACUUUCAACAACGGAUCUCUUGGUUCUGGCAUCGAUGAAGAACGCAGCGAAAUGCGAUAAGUAAUGUGAAUUGCAGAAUUCAGUGAAUCAUCGAAUCUUUGAACGCACAUUGCGCCCGCCAGUAUUCUGGCGGGCAUGCCUGUCCGAGCGUCAUUUCAACCCUCGAACCCCUCCGGGGGGUCGGCGUUGGGGAUGCGGGAACCCCUAAGACGGGAUCCCGGCCCCGAAAUACAGUGGCGGUCUCGCCGCAGCCUCUCCUGCGCAGUAGUUUGCACAACUCGCACCGGGAGCGCGGCGCGUCCACGUCCGUAAAACACCCAACUUUCUGAAAUGUUGACCUCGGAUCAGGUAGGAAUACCCGCUGAACUUAAGCAUAUCAAUA
rnacentral:rRNA from 1 species